UACGAAGGGGGCUAGCGUUGCUCGGAAUUACUGGGCGUAAAGGGCGCGUAGGCGGCCAUUCAAGUCAGAGGUGAAAGCCCAAGGCUCAACCUUGGAACUGCCUUUGAUACUGUUUGGCUUGAGUCCGGUAGAGGGAAGUGGAACUGCGAGUGUAGAGGUGAAAUUCGUAGAUAUUCGCAAGAACACCAGUGGCGAAGGCGGCUUACUGGACCGGUUCUGACGCUGAGGCGCGAAAGCGUGGGGAGCAAACAGG
rnacentral:rRNA from 1 species